UGUGUCCACUCAGAAAUAAGCCACGCUGCCUUCUAGCAGUCUUAUUCCCAGCUCACCUGAAAUAUUCCACUCCAGUAAACCUUCAGGAUAGGAAGAACUGGGCAGGAAAACUCCCCCCA